rnacentral:rRNA from 1 species
GCGUUGUCCGGAGUCACUGGGCGUAAAGGGCGCGUAGGCGGCCACGCGCGCCGGGGGUGAAAGGCCGCGGCUCAACCGCGGGACGGCCUCCGGGACGGCGUGGCUGGGGGGCGGCAGGGGCGGGCGGAAUUCCCGGUGUAGUGGUGAAAUGCGUAGAUAUCGGGAGGAACACCCGCAGCGCAGGCGGCCCGCUGGGCCGACCCCGACGCUGAGGCGCGAAGGCCGG